AUUGAACGCUGGCGGAAUGCUUUACACAUGCAAGUCGAGCGGCAGCGCGGGGCAACCUGGCGGCGAGCGGCGAACGGGUGAGGUAAUGCAUCGGAACGUACCCAGUUGUGGGGGAUAACUGUCCGAAAGGACGAGCUAAUACCGCAUACGUCCCGAGGGAGAAAGCGGGGGGAUCGCAAGACCUCGCGCGAUUGGAGCGGCCGAUGCCGGAUUAGCUAGUUGGUAGGGUAAAGGCCUACCAAGGCGACGAUCCGUAGCUGGUCUGAGAGGACGACCAGCCACACUGGAACUGAGACACGGUCCAGGACUCCUACGGGAGGCAGCAGUGGGGAAUUUUGGACAAUGGGGGCAA
rnacentral:rRNA from 1 species